AAUUCCCUUUGGACGGCAGCUCCCCUCCCCGCCACGCCCCGUGCUGCAGCUGGAGCAGAGGAGCUCACGCCUGCGGGUCGGGAGGCGCAUCCGUGGACCAUGGGGGCAGCUGGGCCACACUGUCCUUCGCCCUGUGGCCUGCUAGCCUGGUCGAGAGAGGUGGUGGGGUUCUCUGGAAUGGUUUCCUCCUGACACCCAGAGCUGUGCGGGGAGGCAGGGAUCUCUCAUCUCACAGAGAUUGUGCCUGGGGGAGCGUGGAGGCAGGGCCUCCAGGUGCUGGAACAGUCGGGAGGGGCAGCAUCAUGGUGCUCGGUCAGCCGAGGAGAGAGGGCAGGGCUGCCCUGCAGCCCAGGCAUGGGACUGACCACGGACAGCGAGGGGACAGCCAGUGGUGCUGAGGCUGGGAGGGAGGGCCAUUGGGCGUGGGGCACGCACGGUGAAUUUUCUAGGGAAAUUGCUGCAGUCAACACCUGGAGCCCUGGUCUGGGAGUGGCCUGUGGGGUCCAGUGGCCUCAUGCCCUGUGCCCAUAUGAUGACCCCAUGUGUGCCUGUGUCCACACCAUGACCCUGUGUGUGCCCAGGCCUGGAAGACAAAGGCGUGACGGAGAGCUGGGGCUCUGAGAGUGGGCGCUACAGCAGCUGUGUUCUCGUCCCCUGGACUCCCUUGAUUUCUGGUGGCCAGUGUUGGGGUCUGCACCGUGUGGCACUGAGGCUGGAUGGGCUGGCAGAGGACAGGUGGGGGCGUGGGGGGGCGUGUUCCAUUCCAGCUGAGGCUUUAGAGGAGGGACAGCCCCCUUUUAAGUGGAUUUCCUUCUCUGAGGCACCUAGAGCCCUCCUCCCAGCCUCCCGUCACGCACUUGCCGGCCCAGCCACCUGCUCACAGAGGGAACCAGUGGUCUUUCAGGCCCCUUCCCUGCUCUGGAUGAAGAAGGCCAUUCUCCUGAGCUCUGUGGGGCUGGACUGUCCGCCUCAGGCCUGGGUCUGCUUCUGCCCGAACCCCUUUUGUGGAAGGUACAUGGGAGCCCAGUGGACCCCUGCACUUCUCCGGAGCCUGACGCCCCUCCCUGGCCGGGGAGGGGUGCUGGAAGAGGCCCGCCGGGCUCCAGGGUUUCCGAGGUCCCUCCGCUCCGCAGAUGCUCACUGGCCUCUGGGGCGUUCACUCCUCUCACGGAGGGUGCUUCCCUUCCGCCUGUACCUACGGGCAGCUCACGGCCGUGGGAUGGAGAGGGGACUCCUGUGUGUGCCCCGCAGGCAGGUGAUCCAUCGUCCACUGCGAGCCGGCCAGAGGGAACGGCCGUGCCUUCUGGCCCCGUGGGCUGUGCUGACUCGGUGGCUGUGGGGCUCGGGCCCAGCCUGCCCUGCCCUGUGGGUUCUGCUGCUGCCUUCCUGCUGUGAGGUGGGCUGCUUCCUUCUGGCCAGAUGAGCAGAGGGCAGCGUUCCCUUUGGAGCCCGAUGGGUGGGCUGUCCCGUGAGUCCCUAGUCCACCCGAGUCUUGGGCUGCGCUGCCUUCUGACGCCCCUCUGCAGAGACAGGUUCUCAGUUGCCAUGAAUGGCACCAUGACACCCGAGCCAUGAAGCGUGACCCCGUGUGGGCAGAAGGCUGCAAGGCCUCUCCGUCCACCCCGCACCUUCCUGGGGCCUGUCCAGCUGCAGGACCAUAGAGGCUGUGGGGAGUCGUGGAGGGCAUCAGGUGCUGGGGCCUCUGUGUCUCCAGAGUAGGCAAGGCACGCGCUCCUGACAGCCCCCAAGGAUUGAGCAAGACUUCAGAAUGAGCUUUUCUGAAGGAGCUUUCCUGGCAGGGACUCCGGGGUCAGUGAGUGUAUGAGAGGCCACAUACCUGGCGGCAUCUCCCUGUGUUGGAAACUUCAAGAGCAGGGUCUCAGGGUCCUCAUGUCCAGAGGCUGAGGAUGGAGGUGGAAGGCUGGAGGGCAGGGGUGAGGAGGGAGCAGGAGGGCAGGAGUUGGGGGAGCAGGAGGGCAGGGGUCAGGAGAACAGGAGAACAGGGGUAAGGGAGGGCAGGGGUGAGGGGGAGCAGAAGAGGGAUGAGGGGGAGCAGGAGGGCAGGCGUUGGGACAGGAGGGCAGGGGUGAGAGAGCAAGGGGGCAGGGGUGAGAGAGCAGGAGAGCAGGGGUGAGGAGAGCAGGAGAGUAGGGGUGAUGGGGAAUAGGAGGGCAGGGGUGAGGAGGGAGCAGGAGAACGGGUAAGGGAGGGCAGGGGUGAGGGGGAGCAGGAGGGCAGGGGUGAGGAGAGAGCAAGAGGGCAGGGGUGAGGAGAGCAAGAGGGCAGGGGUGGGAAGGCAGGAGGGAGGUGGGGGGGCAGGAAGGCAGGGGUGGGAGGGUCAGGAGGGCAGGGUGAAGGGGGGGCUGGAGGGCAGCGGUGACGAGGGCAGCCUGUCUCCCACGUGUGGUGGCUGCUUCCUGUGUGCCCUGGGGUUGGCUCUGUGGAGGGGUGGGCACUGGCUUUGGAACACCUCCCUCCCCUUCCUCCUCUGCCACCCAGUGCCUUCUAAAGGGCAGCAGAAAGAGGCCUGCUAGGCAGGGGUGGCGGAGGCCACCUUCCUUCUCACAAAUACUUCUUGGCCCUGGCCCUGUGCUGCCCGGGCAGGUCCCCAGGCUCAGGGGCUGAGAGGCUGCUUACUGCUGCAGGUGGAGGCCCCAUGCCGGAGGGAGAGCGGGGUUCCCCCCAUGCCUCUCCAGCCCUCCUGCUGCCCACGGCCCAAGCCCAAGCUUGUGCCGGUCAUUACGGCCUUGCCUAGCUGGCAGGGACAGCUGCGUGUGAUGCUGGUGGAGAUGCCAGAUGCCGCCUGCCCUGUGAGGACGGCUGGCGGGGUUGUGGGCUGGCGGGGCUGUGGGAAGGGGGCUGCCGAUCAUGGUGAAAGGGGACAUUUUCAUUGGGUCCUCGUGGUCCGUGUCCUGGGUACUCGGGGUCACCGUGCAGACAGCUGCCCUUUGUCUGCCGGACACAGUGCAGGCAGGGGAGACAGGUUUAGGGCUCUGACAUGGGGCACAGGGACUCCGAGCCAAGGGAUGUCAGGGCAGCUCUGUGCAUCUGAGGCCUUUGCCCUUGCUUUGCGGGUCAGUUCAUGUCCAAAGCACUUUAGGAGGCUGCAGGGAUCAAUACCCAAUAUACCCAACAACUGGAAUUGUUUACACAUGACCUACAUUUUGGACGGUUUAUCAAUAAACAUGUGUGAACAACUGUUA
rnacentral:lncRNA from 1 species